UUAUGUAGAUAAUGAAAAGAUAAUCAAAACUUAUUAAUCAAGUAUGAUACAUAAUAUUAUGUAUCAUUCAAUUCAUUGCAAUGAUAAAAUGAAACCCCUCUCCACAUAUGAAAGUACCUGCCCUCUGAUGGUCUGUUAAUUCUAAGAAAUAAAAACAAAGAGCUUCCUGCCAGGCCCUUUGAAGACCUUCAGCAUUCCUGGAGGAACCAACAGCCUACAUGUGAGACAAGGGCACACUUCUGAACACCUCAGAUCAUCCUGGGACUCAUCACUUCCAGUAGGAGGAACUGGAGUAAAUGCAUCCUUCACAGGGAUUAAAUUGCCAUGCACCAGUGGGGAUUGAACCCCUAACCUCUGGUCCAGUAGCCCUGUUAUCUGACCCAUCACAGCUGGGUGCUGCCAGGAUAGGCAGUGAAAAGUGCUAAUGAUGGCAGGACUUAAUCUCCAAGCAGAUGUAUGGAGUUGAUAACUGUGUUUCCUAACCUGACCAGAUUUCCUGACAGUCUCAGAAGAAAUGCUGGCUGGACUGAAAACAAUUGUCCACCCAAUAUCUGCUUGUCGAUUGAGCAUGAAGUCUGGGCUAUCAGUUUGCAUAAGAUCUGAUUUCUUCACAAAUGACAAAAUGGAACUUUGAUUAGAUACAUUAGAUUCCAUAGCAAACAAAAAGAGGAUGGGUACACCUAAAGAAUAGAACUAUAUGAUAGUAUUUUAAAGAAUAGCCUGCUCUUUGUCAUUGCUUAUUACUUGUACACUAUGAUAGCCUAAGAUUGUUUCUGAAUUAUUAUCUUUCUACACUGUCCUUCAGCCAGUAUGGUAAACAAGCAUAUUGCUGUUUUUGCUCGAGAUAAUGUUAUAAUUGCUGUUGGGACCUUGUGUAUCUUUGUGGAGACUGAGUUAACGACGGCAGCGCAGCCUAAACACAGUAUUAGCUGGCUGGGAAAGGAGAUUGUAAGCUGGGGAAUUCUGUGGGCUGAAGUUAAGAAGCUAAUAGAGGUUACGUCACACCCCCAUACUGCGCAGAAAAACGCAUGCUGCCAACAUCAGGUACAAGUCUGGCAUACAUGUUGAAUAUCCCACAAUCAUGUAAAUAAACACAAGUUACUGUGUAUUUGUA